UACGUAGGUCCCAAGCGUUAUCCGGAAUUACUGGGCGUAAAGCGUCUGUAGCCGGUUUUGUAAGUCUAUUUUCAAAUACUCAGGCUCAACCAGAGGAAGGGAGUGGAUACUGCAUGACUAGAGGACAUAAGAGGAUAGUGGAAUUUCCGGUGGAGCGGUGAAAUGCGUUGAUCUCGGAAGGAACGCCAAAAGCGAAAGCAGCUAUCUAUUAUGUAUCUGACGGUGAGAGACGAAAGUGUGGGUAGCGAAUGGG
rnacentral:rRNA from 1 species